UACAGAGCCUAAAAUCAUUAAUUUAUUGCUAAAAAAAAAUAUGCUUCUAACCCAUAACUCAUACCUUCAGCUAUGGCGAACCUCUAAAACAAACUCGACCACAAUCAAAGGGAAUAAUCGAUCUUGACGAGUACCACUACGUUCACGUGGAAGGUUUGAAAGAAAAAUGCAAGUUCUCGUACGAUUUCACUCCCGCAAGGAACUAAUCGCACUAAUUUUUCUGUGAAUGCUCGGCAUUCCUAACCACCUGGCGUGCUAUUCUCUUUCCGCUAAGAUAAAGAGAGCCUCGGCAUUCAACUUCGUGCAUUAACGUCAGAAGCAGGCGAGGCAAUCCGUUUGCAUUUCGCACAUAGGCGUCGCUGCACGUUCGAUGCUCGUGGCUGCUGCUGUUGGCCUCUCAAGAAAAAAGAACUAAGAGUGGUGGAAAGAGGGAAGAACAAGGUGGAUAUCUGGUCGCGGGUAAGUCGGAAAAUCGAUCCUCGCCAACCAGUCGGUCGUUUCGCGUCUCUUGGUGACUGUUUCAGAGCCACGGUGAAAUAUGGCAUUAACGUUCUGCUCCAUUGAGGAUCGCGUACUGUUUUUCCACCCUCUGUUCUCUUUUUUCUUCCAUUUUUUGUUCUCCCUCGAACUGCCACAUUCGGUCCAGCGUCGAGAGAUCAAUUUUUCUCGUGUAACCGGUGUAACUGGUGGCGGACCACCGCUGCGCCGGACAUUUCGGUGUUAUUGAUCAAAAAGUGCCGGUGUAACGCGACCGUAACAACAGGCAAACCCAACUAAUAUCGUUUCGAAACCUCAUGGAAGGAGCUGCCACACGGUUGUCUUCUUUUUUUCUGUACCUCUUCAGUCCGUUUGUUGAACGUAUUGUCGCGGUCGGGCGGAAACCAUCAUCUCCACACAUAGAACAUUGUUAUUUUUUCACGAUGAUAAGGUCGAUCCUUUUUUUAGAAAAAUUACAUAACAACAUUUUUAACAACAGUUUUAGAAUAGAGCGAAAUGUUGAGCAUUAUAUCUAUGCAUGACAAAACAUACGGAAUUUGUUUAUGUUGAAAACAUCUGAACUCUUGACGUAUCAGUAAAUUUACAACAUGCAUACCAAUAUAGGAAAUUCAAAUAUCGACGUGAAAGUGGAAAAUAUCUGAGGACUUGCGAUAUUGAUUACUGCGGAGGAUCAAUAGCCAUUAUGAUGCGGUGGUUGAUGGUCGUUGACAGUGAGUCAUAAGGGAUUUACGAGGCGGUAUAAACUACAGAACUUCUGUGCCUCGUACUACGAAAAGCAAGGAGAGGAAGAGGGAUAAAGCUCGCGACUGCUAGAUUGUAAUCUUCGUCCAUAAACGGCACUUUAUCACCAACUGCCUAUUAUAUCUUCUAACUUUUUGGACUAACGGAACAAAAUGUUCUUCAUGAUUUCCUUCGUCUGCUAAUAAUUUCUUAAAAAUUUACCAAGGAAUUUAAUUAGCAAUUAACUAUUAACUAAACAUUCGCGUCCUUAUACAAUGAAUCAUUUUAAGUAUGAUAUUCACCGUGAUUUUUAUACUUUUAAGUUAAAUAAAUUAUCAUAAUCAAUCAAUUUCUCCUUUGCAAAAUAAAUUAAUUUUCUUGACGGAGACACAAUAGGUGUACAAUCCUACGAUAUUUCACUUAUAAUCGUAUAAUGGAAACCGCAGCUUUGUACGAUGAGACGCGAAAUUUUUGUCUGUUAAGUUAGUCAUUUGGCGAACUUUGUUCCCUGGAGUUCUGGCAUUCGCUUUUAGCGAGUCGACUACUCUUUGCGAACGUUCAUCCCCCUCUGUGCAGCUUCGUUUACUGCCCUUAGCAGUACACUUAGACGCUGCAAUAUAGUCUUGUGUGUUUAACUAUCUUUAGCCGUUACUGUUCCAAGUUUUCAAAUGAAACGCGAGCUUCGAUGGAGUGGAAGACAGUGUUCGCGAAAUUUCCACGCUUCCGACGAACGACAUUUACAGAACCCUCUACGCGAACCCGUGGUUUCUUGAUUAGACAUUUAAACCGAUAACGAGGUGAGCGUUGAGUAAAGAAGAAAUUUUCCCCAUUCUAGCAAGUAGCAUACAAGACGGAUCGAAUGUGUAUCGAGCAAACUCGGAUUUUAAUUAAAUCCAGCAGUAAACGUAAACUUCAACGAGUUAGUUGGUCUAUUAUCUGGCGUCGCAGCGUGUUUCACAUUUGCAACGCAGUGAUAUUCGUUUAUUCACACAGUCAAAUGUUAUUUCAACCCUUUAGAACGCUGUAUCGCUGCUUUGCUUUAAAAUAGUGGCACAUCCCAACAAAUUUCAAAUUUGCUUUUAUCGAAUAGAAGGUCGAGAGUUAUGUUUCUGUUUUUAGUAUGUAAAACGGUAUAUUUAUUAUUUCAUCAGUUUUGCGUUGGAAGGAAAACUUACUCUUAUGCCGUUAUCAACCUGCCCUUAGCUUAACAGCACUGGCUGAUCUUCAGUUGUUUUCGUGACGCUACAAGUGGAAGGUCGUACUGCUUUUUCGAAAAGUGGCGUAUCUUGUGUUAAGACAGCCUUAUAAUGUCGUUGUAACGACUCGUCAAGAUUUCUUUGUAAAUUUGGAAACGCCUCUCCUUUAGAGUUUACAUUUUUUGAGCUGUGCCAUUAUGAAAGCAAAUCAGCGAUAUAACAUGAAAGUUACAAGGUGAGAAAUUGCGUUUAAUUAUAAUUUCUAUUCUUACAAGCAAAUAGAAUUCUGGUUAAUACUUGUCGUGUCAGCAUACAAGCAAUUUAGAAGGAAACAAUACAGAAUAAUAGGAUAAUAUAUAUCUCUGGGGGGUAGUAAAAAUUGUAAUAAAACUGUUUCGCAAAUUCUCGGUUAAUUGUAAUGCUAUAAACCAUAUCAGAUUAAUAUAGUAAUGGUUUAAGUGCGCUCCCGGACAACGAUAUUUAUUCAUUAAGAGUGCCUGCGUAUUUUCUAUACACUUUCGACUGAAUUGGUGAAUAUGGAGAUUCUAAUUACCUAUAUGUACAAUUUCUCAUUGCAAACCUGUUUCUGUCACCUAACCUAACGUGCCACCUCCGUUCUAAUAAUGUUUUAUUCAUGAGCAAAGAUUUCCGCUGCAAUUUAUAACACUCUGGCGGACCAGUUUGAGUAAUGUUUUCACGAGGGAGAACAAUAAAGAAACAAUGCAAAUGUAGGUAUUUGCAAAUUACGUCCGCUUUAUGUAAUUCUUUCCUAAUUGUAUUAGAGAACAAUUCGCGUUAUUUGCCGAUGUUUAUACUUGUUUACAAUCAGAUUAAUUAAGUCGAUAUCGUUUGGUUAUAGAUGAUCACAAUAGCUCAAAUUACAUUUUCGCUAUAUUACUUUUAAUUACCAGAUAUAUCAUUUUAAUUUCUUGCAUAAAAUAGGGAAUAGAAAUGAAAAUGAAACAUUAAAAAAUUUAAUAAUUUAACACAGUUUGUUACGAGUCACCAUGCAACGAGGAUUAACAUUAAAAUUAAUAGAGAGAUUGAAAACCUCUGUCUAUGAGGUAUGAGACUUCUUUCCAUAAAAGUAGAAUUGCACACAUCGAAAUGUGUGAAGCAAUUAAAACUUUUACGUCAGCUUGCAGACUGUUGAACAAAAAAAAAGGACUAAGUUGGAAACAGGCUGACAAAUCUUAUGAAAAUAUUUCUGUUUCGCGAAUACAUUAAGAACAUAAAUAAAAA